GACGGACCGUCCAAACGUUAUUCGGUAUCACUGGGCUUAAAGGGUGCUUAGGCGGUCCCGUAAGUCGGGUGUGAAAUCCCUCGGCUCAACCGAGGAAGUGCGCCCGAAACUGCGGGGCUAGAGGGAGGUAGAGGCGAGUGGAACUUGCGGUGGAGCGGUGAAAUGCGUUGAUAUCGCAAGGAACACCGGUGGCGAAGGGGGCUCGCGGGGCCUUCCCUGACGAUGAGGCACGAAAGCUAGGGGAGCGAACGGG
rnacentral:rRNA from 1 species